rnacentral:rRNA from 1 species
UCCAGACUCCUACGGGAGGCAGCAGUGAGGAAUAUUGGUCAAUGGCCGAGAGGCUGAACCAGCCAAGUCGCGUGAGGGAAGACGGUCCUACGGAUUGUAAACCUCUUUUGCCGGGGAGCAACGGGGUCCUUGCGAGGGCCCAAUGAGAGUACCCGGAGAAAAAGCAUCGGCUAACUCCGUGCCAGCAGCCGCGGUAAUACGGAGGAUGCGAGCGUUAUCCGGAUUUAUUGGGUUUAAAGGGUGCGUAGGCGGGCUGUAAGGUGGGGGGAAAAGGGGGGGGGCCAACCCGGGGCCGGCCGUUGAAACUGGCGGCCUCGAGUGGGCGAGAAGUAUGCGGAAUGCGUGGUGUAGCGGUGAAAUGCAUAGAUAUC